UGCUGUCCUAAGCUCUUCUAUGGAUUAAUUUAUUGGAUCCUCACAACAGAGCUAUGGAGAGAUAAAGCUGGAGUGCAGUGGUGUGAUCUUGGCUCGCUGCAACCUCUGCCUCCCGGGUUCAAGUGAUUCUCAUGCCUCAGCCUCCCGAGUAGCUGGGAUUAUAGGCACCUGCCACCAUUCCCGGCAGGUGCCAGUGAAGCCAUUGUUCCAGCUCACUCAGUGGGACUUGGGACAGGAAACAGGAGAUCUGGGGAGCUGGUGGGACGCUUACUAGCUACCUGACCUUGGAUGAAUGAUUCGUUCCUCCAGAGCUUCUGUUUCUUCACCUAUGAAAAGGGAGAAGAUGCCACCUCAUUCUAAGGAGCUGCAUGGGGACUAAAGGAAAAAUCUUGACACUCAAACGCAAUUUUCUGUUGUUACAGGGCCAAGGAGCUCUGGGCCUGAGAGGGGAAGAGUCUGGUCAGCAUUGCCCAGUAUUAUAGCUGGAUGUUUGCCCACCGGAACCUCAUGUUGAAAUUUGAUCCUCAAUGUUGGAGGCUGGCAGCAGACAAACGAUGCAGGCAGGCAGUGAGACUCAGAUUGGGUCCUCCUGUCGGAACAGCUGGGAUAUGAUGUCCAUGCCCUCUCCCAGGACCCAGGUGGAACUUGAAUACUGAUUCAUCAUACUCACUUUUCAUUUGGAGAGUGAAUUUUGGACUGAAAUAAAGGGAGAUGUUCAGCCUCAGGUGUAGAAGCAGUGAGACAAUUUCCCACCACGGAGGAAGAUGAAGAGCAGGAGAGGAGAGGCUGGCGGCUCCCAGGAGCAGAUCACCUGCCCCCACUGCAAGGCCCCCGUGUGCUCAAUAAACUGACCCUUGCGCAGAGA
rnacentral:lncRNA from 1 species